AGAGACAGACAGACAGACAGACACACACACACACACACACACAUAUGCAUAUAUACAGAGAGGGAGAGAGAGAGAGUGACUGAUAGGUAGAUAAACAGAUCGAUAGAUCAUCAUCAUCAUUGGGUUGAUCUUGUUCGAUAGAUUGAUAGUAAGAGAGAAAGAUAGGCUAUAAAAGAAGAGGGAGAACAAAGUAAAAAAAAGAGAAACAGUAAUAGACACGGAGAGAGAGAGAGAGAGUGAGAGAGAGAGGGAGAAUUAGGGAGAGAGAGAGAGAGAGUGCGAACAAAGAGAAUAAAUACAAGAGAGACGAGACCUGGAUACAAAGGAGAGAAAGCGCACGGAAAGAGGGAAAAUAUAAUAUUCCGAGAGAAAAACGAAACAGAGACAACAUAUAUAAUUAAAAAGAGGUGGUUGCAGUUCACCUGACAAGGGAUUUGUCUUCAAUUAAAUGAAAGAAAGAGAGAAAGAGAAUAGCGAAGAGACAAAGAAGGAAGGAA